rnacentral:rRNA from 1 species
AUUGAACGCUGGCGGCAUGCUUUACACAUGCAAGUCGAACGGCAGCACGGGUGCUUGCACCUGGUGGCGAGUGGCGAACGGGUGAGUAAUGCAUCGGAACGUGCCCCAUGAGUGGGGGAGUAGCCCGGCCGAAAGACCGGAUUAAUACCGCAUACGCCCUUACGGGGGAAAGGACGGGGGAGUCUUCGGACCUCGCGCUAUUGGAGCGGCCGAUGUCGGAUUAGCUAGUAGGUGAGGUAAAGGACUCACCUAGGCGACGAUCCGUAGCUGGUCUGAGAGGAUGAUCAGCCACACUGGGACUGAGACACGGCCCAGACUCCUACGGGAGGCAGCAGUGGGGAAUUUUGGACAAUGGCGCAAGCCUGAUCCAGCCAUGCCGCGUGAGUGAAGAA